UACGUAGGGUCCGAGCGUUGUCCGGAAUUAUUGGGCGUAAAGGGCUCGUAGGCGGUUUGUCGCGUCGGGAGUGAAAACACGGGGCUUAACCCCGUGCCUGCUUCCGAUACGGGCAGACUAGAGGUAUGCAGGGGAGAACGGAAUUCCUGGUGUAGCGGUGAAAUGCGCAGAUAUCAGGAGGAACACCGGUGGCGAAGGCGGUUCUCUGGGCAUUACCUGACGCUGAGGAGCGAAAGUGUGGGGAGCGAACGGG
rnacentral:rRNA from 1 species